AGUGAACGCUGGCGGUAGGCCUAACACAUGCAAGUCGAACGGCAGCACAGGAGAGCUUGCUCUCUGGGUGGCGAGUGGCGGACGGGUGAGGAAUACAUCGGAAUCUACUUUUUCGUGGGGGAUAACGUAGGGAAACUUACGCUAAUACCGCAUACGACCUACGGGUGAAAGCAGGGGAUCUUCGGACCUUGCGCGAUUGAAUGAGCCGAUGUCGGAUUAGCUAGUUGGCGGGGUAAAGGCCCACCAAGGCGACGAUCUGUAGCGGGUCUGAGGGGAUGAUCCGCCACACUGGGACUGAGACACGGCCCAGACUCCUACGGGAGGCAGCAGUGGGGAAUAUUGGACAAUGGGGGCAACCCUGAUCCAGCAAUGCCGCGUGUGUGAAGAAGGCCUUCGGGUUGUAAAGCACUUUUGUCCGGGAAGAAAUCCCCUGAGCGAAUAGCUCGGGGGGAUGACGGUACUGGAAGAAUCAGCACCGGCUAACUACGUGCCAGCCGCCGCAGUAACAC
rnacentral:rRNA from 1 species